rnacentral:rRNA from 1 species
AUUGAACGCUGGCGGCAGGCCUAACACAUGCAAGUCGAGCGGAUGAAGGGAGCUUGCUCCUGGAUUCAGCGGCGGACGGGUGAGUAAUGCCUAGGAAUCUGCCUGGUAGUGGGGGAUAACGUCCGGAAACGGGCGCUAAUACCGCAUACGUCCUGAUGGAGAAAGUGGGGGAUCUUCGGACCUCACGCUAUCAGAUGAGCCUAGGUCGGAUUAGCUAGUUGGUGGGGUAAAGGCCUACCAAGGCGACGAUCCGUAACUGGUCUGAGAGGAUGAUCAGUCACACUGGAACUGAGACACGGUCCAGACUCCUACGGGAGGCAGCAGUGGGGAAUAUUGGGCAAUGGGCGAAAGCCUGAUCGAGCCAUGCCGCGUGUGUGAAGAAGGUCUUCGGAUUGUAAAGCACUUUAAGUUGGGAGGAAGGGCAGUAAGUUAAUACCUUGCUGUUUUGACGUUACCAACAGAAUAAGCACCGGCUAACUUCGUG